rfam:Klebsiella pneumoniae IS43, WGS project CBWK01000000 data, contig: c161
GCUGUCGCAAAAUCGGCAGCCGGGCGUGAGAACCCGAGUUACUCAGUGGCGACACCGGACGCGCCAUGCGUCUUUUUU